rnacentral:rRNA from 1 species
GCUCUGUCUCGCGAUUGGAAUGAGAACAAUGUAAAGCCUUAACGAGGAUCCACUGGAGGGCAAGUCUGGUGCCAGCAGCCGCGGUAAUACCAGCUCCAGUAGCGUAUAUUAAAGUUGUUGCAGUUAAAAAGCUCGUAGUUGAAAUUCUGUACGGAACGACGUCUUCGGAUGAUCGAGCCGUGCAUCCGCCUGAGCAGCAGGUCGGUACUUUGUUGCCGGUUUGUGAUCAGGCACUUUACCUUGAGCAAAUUAGAGUGUUCCAGGCAGGCGUCAGCCUGAAUAGUCCAGCAUGGAAUAAUAGAAGAGGACUGAAAACCACUGUUGGUGUUGUGGUAAUCAGUAAUGAUUAAUAGGGAUAGUUGGGGGCAUUCGUAUUUAAUUGUCAGAGGUGAAAUUCUAUGAUUUAUUAAAGACGAACCUAUGCGAAAGCAUUUGCCAAGGAUGUUUUCAUUAAUCAAGAACGAAAGUUAAGGGAUCAAAGACGAUCAGAUACCGUCGUAGUCUUAACCAUAAACUAUGCCGACUAGAGAUUGGAGGUGCAACUCCAAGACUCCUUCAGCAUCUUACGAGAAAUCAAAGUCUUCGGGUUCUGGGGGGAGUAUGGUCGCAAGACUGAAACUUAAAGGAAUUGACGGAAGGGCACCACCAGGUGUGGAGCCUGCGGCUUAAUUUGACCCAACACGGGGAAACUUACCAGGUCCAGACAUAGCGAGGAUUGACAGACUGACAGCUCUUUCUUGAUUCUAUGGGUGGUGGUGCAUGGCCGUUCUUAGUUGGUGGAGUGAUUUGUCUGGUUAAUUCCGAUAACGAACGAGACCUCAGCCUGCUAAAUAGUCAGAGUCCGAUUGGGCUUGUGACUUCUUAGAGGGACUGUGGGGGCUACUCCACGGAAGUUUGAGGCAAUAACAGGUCUGUGAUGCCCUUAGAUGUCCUGGGCCGCACGCGCGCUACACUGAUGCAGGCAGCAAGCACCGUGGCAGAAAUGUCUCGGAAAACUACAAACUGCAUCGUGCUGGGGAUUGACUCUUGGAAUUCUUGGUCAUAAACGAGGAAUACCUAGUAAACGCAAGUCAUCAGCUUGCAUUGAUUACGUCCCUGCCCUUUGUACACACCGCCCGUCGCUCCUACCGAUUUGAGUGGUGCGGUGAACCCUUCGGACCGGUACGCCGGAAAGUUGAGUAAACCUUACCACUUAGGGGAAGGAGAAGUCGUAACAAGGUA